GUGGUAUAAACUCUUAAUGCAUUUGGCUGGUAACCAAAAGGGUGGAGGUUCAAAUCCACCC
rnacentral:tRNA from 1 species